GAAUCUUAUAAGAGGUCCUGCCUGCCCAGUGACUACAUGUUCAACGGCCGCGGUAUUCUGACCGUGCGAAGGUAGCGUAAUCACUUGUCUUUUAAAUAAAGACUGGUAUGAAUGGCCCCACGAGAGCCUUACUGUCUCCCUUAUUCAAUCAGUGAAACUGAUCUUCCCGUGCAGAAGCGGGAAUUUUAUCAUAAGACGAGAAGACCCCAUGGAGCUUAAAACUAAAAAUCACCUACUCAAUCAUCUUCCCCACGGGAUCACUUCUUAGCCUUGUAGAUAAUGAUUCAAGUUUUCGGUUGGGGUGACCACGGAGAAAAGAAAAUCCUCCUUGAUGAACAAUUAAUUUAAACCACGAGCCACCGCUCUAAGUAUUAGAACUUCUAACUAAAUUGAUCCAAUAAUUUUGAUCAACGGACCAAGUUACCCUGGGGAUAACAGCGCAAUCCAUUUCAAGAGUCCAUAUCGACAAAUGGGUUUACGACCUCGAUGUUGGAUCAGGGUAUCCCAGUGGUGCAGCCGCUACUAAAGGUUCGUUUGUUCAACGAUUAAAACCCUACGUGAUCUGAG
rnacentral:rRNA from 1 species